CCUACGGGAGGCUGCAGUGGGGAAUAUUGGACAAUGGGCGAAAGCCUGAUCCAGCCAUGCCGCGUGUGUGAAGAAGGCCUUCGGGUUGUAAAGCACUUUCAGUGGGGAAGAAAGCCUUGGGGCUAAUACCCUCGAGGAAGGACAUCACCCACAGAAGAAGCACCGGCUAACUCCGUGCCAGCAGCCGCGGUAAUACGGAGGGUGCGAGCGUUAAUCGGAAUUACUGGGCGUAAAGCGCGCGUAGGCGGUCUGAUAAGCCGGUUGUGAAAGCCCCGGGCUCAACCUGGGAACGGCAUCCGGAACUGUCAGGCUAGAGUGCAGGAGAGGAAGGUAGAAUUCCCGGUGUAGCGGUGAAAUGCGUAGAGAUCGGGAGGAAUACCAGUGGCGAAGGCGGCCUUCUGGACUGACACUGACGCUGAGGUGCGAAAGCGUGGGUAGCAAACAGGAUUAGAUCCCCAGUAGUC
rnacentral:rRNA from 1 species